GUAAGAUCUUUGCACAAAGAGCAGAAAGAGGAGUAUAGGAGUUAUACCUAUUGCCAUAGUUGUUCCGCCUUGGACUCUAUCGAUGAGGUGAAGCUCGCUUAUUAAUGGUUGACCGACUUGAUUUGAUCGAAGCUUCAAUUUUUUUUUUAUUUCUUUUUCUGACCUUUUUCUUUUGUUUGGUGCCGGUCAGAAGUACCCUCAUCCGCAUGAAUAUACUUGUAUGCGCACUCUAAGAGUUUAGCAUAGGUUUGGAGAAGAGUCUUAUCCAGAGAGUAGAUAAAUCUGGAUCCCCUCAGAUCUCUCUUCAUGAUCGAGAUGGCCAUAUCUUCAUUGAGGUCCCUGACCUCAAGCAUGGCCAUGUUGAAGCGAGCCACGAAAUCUCUCAAUGUCUCUGUCUCACCUUGCUUGAUGGAGAAGAGACUAUCAGAUGUGCGUGACACCUUUCAGCUAGUGCUGAAAUGGGCCACGAAGAAAUGCUCGAGCUGCUCGAAGAAAUUUAUGCUCUCCGACUGAAGUCCAGAAUAUCAGGCUCGAGCAGCUUUCCGAAUAGUUGUUGAGAAAUCAAUAUAUAAGAGGAUGUCGGUUGCUCCCUGGAUCAUCAUGAGAGCCUUGUAGCCCUCCAAAUGAUCAA
rnacentral:lncRNA from 1 species